rnacentral:lncRNA from 1 species
AUAGUCCCACCGAAUGUACUUGUGAUUUGAUAUAAAAGACCGUAGACACUAAUGAUAAUAACUGAGCUUAAAUAUUUUAGAUCGAUGGUUUAGAUCCAACAAGUUAUUAUUGCUGUUCUGGUAAUCUUGGACUAUAUGGGAGGAGUUAUUAUUGCCGUCCUAGUAAUCUGUGACACUGGUUACUAUUAUUAAUCGUAUCAUCGGGAAAACGCCAAAUAUCACUCCUGUGGUUUCGUUUUAAAGUGUAUCACUUUUGUACCCUAUAAUUUUAUUUUUCUCUUUUUGUUAAAGUGUAUUAUUUUCAUAUCCUAUGGUUUUAUUUUUCUCUUUUUAUUAUUCUUUUUACUAAUUUUUUUGUUAAAUUAGUGACAAUGUUAAAAGUAAACGGUAAACAUUACGUGCGGUGAGAAAGUACGAUGAAAAAAUAUCCUAUUUAUUUUCGUACAUAAUAUUGCUUUCCAUAUAUUGCGAUGAGUCGGUUAUGAUAUAUUUUCUGCGAUUCCAUCGGAAUACGUAGAAGCAUGUCCCUAUAUAUUUUUACACCAACUUCAUUUUAUCUAAUAGCAUUAGAUGUGGCUCAAUGCCAAACUAAGCAAUGCCAAACUAAGCCUGAGUCAAGUUGUUACAACGCCGACUUUUUUAAAGAAUAAUCCUAUAAAUAUUUCUUAUUCACCAAAUGAUCCUUCCAAAAAUUUUAUUUGGCUAACUAAUUCUUUUUUUUAAGCUCAGUACCAAAUUAGACAAAAAUGAAGAAAAAAAUCGGUGAAUCGAUCACGUUCUAAAAUUUUAUUUGGUCAGGUAAAUCAUUCAUUAUUUUCUAGUUGUUGUUGUUAUUUAUUGGUUUUUUUUAUUGAUUACGAGGAUAUUUCUGAGAUUAUUAGAAUUAUAUAUGAAUUAUUGAAUUUUUGUUUGACUUUUAGGGUUGUAUAGGUAGAUUGUUAAAAUUUUUUGGAUUGUUAAGAUUGUAUGUGAUUGGUUAGAAUUAUAUACAAUGAAAUAUAAAGAAAUAAUAAAUUUUAACCAAAUAAAAUUUUGGUAGAAUUAUUUGGCAAAUUAUGACGUUUUUUAAGAGUUAGUUUGAAAAAAAAGC